rnacentral:lncRNA from 1 species
CGGGCAGUGCCCGGCGGAGCGGAGCGUGCUGCAGGGUGCCCGGAGCCAGGGGGUCUUUGUUCUGCACGUAUGCACCGAAGUGUAGAUAAUGGGUCCUCGAUGAAGAGAUUUGACCAAGUAAGGAGUUCUGUCUGUCAGACGAAGACUUGCCAGCGUUUGUGGUGAAAUAAUCUGCUCUGUUUGGAGACUGCGGGAAAAAUCCUUUCCGUACAGCUGAGAAUUUCUCACUUCAAAGCAUCGCACAAUUGACCUGCAGAAUGAAAUGACCGUGGCUGUUAGCAGUUGCAGUGCUCCUUUACACCUGGUGACCCCUGUUUCCAUGUGCCCAGCUCCCAGAAGGUUAAAGUGCUUUUAUUUAGCAGGAGCAUCCCCAAGAAGCCUGGUGAUGUAGUGGUGCAUCGCAGAAAAGCUUCCUUUUGUACCACGGGAAACACCUUAAGGAAGGUUGCUCUGAAAACUCCGAGACUCUCAGUGAAGAGGAUUUCUCAAUACCAUGUGUUGCAUAUGAUUGCAUGGGCUUGGAAUUACUCAGCCAGCCUUCAGGUCUGCUGGGCAGACAGUUACACGAACCAAAUCCCAGAGCUCCCUAAAACAUGAGGAACGGCUGGAAAGGCAGUAACGGUGUUCGCAGAGAAGCAGCAGCAGGAA